GGGGAUUGGGCAGUGCUCCAGAAGCAUCUACCACAUUCCCGAGGUUUACUUCAAGAUGCAAUUGGGCCUGCUUGUCAAGCCUUUGCAAUAAACAUUCCAUGUAUCUCUAAUGAGUGACACAAACACAGCUUGGUCAUAUCCAAGAUGGGUGUUCCUGAUCUGCCUGUAGCUCUCCUCCAACCCAGACUCCUUUCAAACUGUGGCUCCACCAUCUUCAAUAUGGAGCUUCCAAGAUUGCCCCACUGCCCUGCACCAAGCCUGCAAAAGAGGAUAGGGGUCAGGCCACUCAUAUUUCACUGGACCAAAUUCAGUCACAUGGCCACACUCACUGCAAGGGAAGCUGGGAAAUGGAAUCUAGCUCUGUGCCCAAGAAGCAGAGAAAAACAGAUUUGAUGAAGACUUAGUCAAUCUCUGCAACAAUGAAACAGAGAAGAAGGCAAAAGAAAAAGAAUUUUACAACGCGAGGAGGGAGAGAAAAUUCAGUUAACAAAAAGAUAGACUACACCCCAAGGUAGUCUGCAGAAUUCUACCUACCCAAAUCAUGUGUUAAAUUGUGAAAGAAGUUAUGAUAAAAAUAGGGUAAGGGUGAAAUUUGAUAAAUGCUCUGGGGACACGUAGCACACUCCUUCCCUGGUGACGCAGU
rnacentral:lncRNA from 1 species